rnacentral:rRNA from 1 species
AGUGAACGCUGGCGGCGUGCUUAACACAUGCAAGUCGAACGAGAACGGGUUAUAGCUUGCUAUAAUUGUCAGCUAAGUGGCGCACGGGUGAGUAAUGUAUAGGUAAUAUGCCUCUUACUAAGGGAUAACAAAUGGAAACGUUUGCUAAUACCUUAUACUCCUUAUUAACAUAAGUUAAUAAGGGAAAGAUUUAUUGGUAAGAGAUUAGCCUGUAUUGUAUCAGUUAGUUGGUGGGGUAAUGGCUUACCAAGACUAUGACACAUAACUGGUUUGAGAGGAUGAUCAGUCACACUGGAACUGAGACACGGUCCAGACUCCUACGGGAGGCAGCAGUGAGGAAUAUUGCACAAUGGACGAAAGUCUGAUGCAGCAACGCCGCGUGGAGGAUGACACAUUUCGGUGCGUAAACUCCUUUUAUAUGAGAAGAUAAUGACGGUAUUAUAUGAAUAAGCACCGGCUAACUCCGUGCCAGCAGCCGCUGUAA